GUCCAUAAAGGAUUUUAUUUCUCCUUCACUUACGAAGCUUAAUUUGGCUGGAUAUGAAAUUCUGGGUUGAAAAUUCUUUUCUUUUAAGAUGUUGAAUUUUGGCCCCCACUCUCCUCUGGCUUGUAGAGUUUCCACUGAGGGAUCUGCUGUAAGUCUGAUGGGCUUCCCUUUGUGGGUAACCCAACCUUUCU